rnacentral:rRNA from 1 species
UAACGCGUGAGUAACCUGCCCUGGAGUGGGGGACAACAGUUGGAAACGACUGCUAAUACCGCAUAAGCCCACGAUCCGGCAUCGGAUUGAGGGAAAAGGAUUUAUUCGCUUCAGGAUGGACUCGCGUCCAAUUAGCUAGUUGGUGAGGUAACGGCCCACCAAGGCGACGAUUGGUAGCCGGACUGAGAGGUUGAACGGCCACAUUGGGACUGAGACACGGCCCAGACUCCUACGGGAGGCAGCAGUGGGGGAUAUUGCACAAUGGGGGAAACCCUGAUGCAGCGACGCCGCGUGGAGGAAGAAGGUUUUCGGAUUGUAAACUCCUGUCGUUAGGGACGAUAAUGACGGUACCUAACAAGAAAGCACCGGCUAACUACGUG